GACAGAGGGGGCAAGCGUUGCUCGGAAUCACUGGGCGUAAAGGGUGCGUAGGCGGCGCGGUAAGUCGGGUGUGAAAUCUCGGAGCUUAACUCCGAAACUGCAUUCGAUACUGCCGUGCUUGAGGACUGGAGAGGAGACUGGAAUUUACGGUGUAGCGGUGAAAUGCGUAGAUAUCGUAAGGAAGACCAGUGGCGAAGGCGGGUCUCUGGGCCACUACUGACGCUGAGAAGCGAAAGCAUGGGGAGCGAACAGG
rnacentral:rRNA from 1 species